AGCAUUGAGCUUGAAACACAAGUUCUAAAAUUAAAGCUUUUAAAAUUAUUACUACUUUUUUCGUAUAGAAAUUAAGGUUUGUAAUAUAAUAUGGCAGCACUACUCUCCAACAACUCUAUAAGAUCCAUAGUGAUUACACUUAUGAUCUAUGCUAUUUUCUUAGCUCCCUUGCUACUAUGGUCAUGCGAUGCAUCUCGAGAACUCGCGUCAAGCAAGUUUCCACCACGUGUUGUAUGUCUUCAUUGUGUGGGGUGUUGUGAACCUCCACCCCCAGGUACUUGUUGUACCCGCUGUGGUUGUUGAAGUUUCUCUUCUCUACAUGUCAGAAUUGAACAAGUUUGAUCAGCAAUUGGUGUGACUUUGAUUAAUUAUACGUACAUGUUAUUCAAUAAAGAAGGAACUUAUUGGUUUCUUUAGGUUGAUUAUAGGAGUAUUAUUAUGUGUACAUUGUGGGGAACAAUGUGUUUGUAACGUUUUGUAAUUCAAGUUGAUAAAUUACGACAAGGAAAGCCUGAAGUUUUAUCUA